rnacentral:rRNA from 1 species
AUUGAACGCUGGCGGCAUGCCUUACACAUGCAAGUCGAACGGCAGCACGGGGCAACCUGGUGGCGAGUGGCGAACGGGUGAGUAAUGCAUCGGAACGUACCUUUCAGUGGGGGAUAACGUAGCGAAAGUUACGCUAAUACCGCAUAUUCUGUGAGCAGGAAAGCAGGGGAUCGCAAGGCCUUGCGCUGAUGGAGCGGCCGAUGUAAGAUUAGCUAGUUGGUGAGGUAAAGGCUCACCAAGGCGACGAUCUGUAGCGGGUCUGAGAGGAUGAUCCGCCACACUGGAACUGAGACACGGUCCAGACUCCUACGGGAGGCAGCAGUGGGGAAUUUUGGACAAUGGGGGCAACCCUGAUCCAGCCAUGCCGCGUGAGUGAAGAAGGCCUUCGGGUUGUAAAGCUCUUUCGGCCGGGAAGAAAUCGCACGGGCUAAUACCCUGUGUGGAUGACGGUACCGGAAUAAGAAGCACCGGCUAACUACGUGCCAGCCGCCGCGGUAA